rnacentral:rRNA from 1 species
CCACGCCCGCUCAAGAACUACGAAAGGUAAUUGACGGGGGCCCGCACAAGCGGCGGAGCAUGUGGAUUAAUUCGAUGCAACGCGAAGAACCUUACCUGGGUUUGACAUAUACCGGAAAGCUGCAGAGAUGUGGCCCCCCUUGUGGUCGGUAUACAGGUGGUGCAUGGCUGUCGUCAGCUCGUGUCGUGAGAUGUUGGGUUAAGUCCCGCAACGAGCGCAACCCUAUCUUAUGUUGCCAGCACGUUAUGGUGGGGACUCGUAAGAGACUGCCGGGGUCAACUCGGAGGAAGGUGGGGACGACGUCAAGUCAUCAUGCCCCUUAUGUCCAGGGCUUCACACAUGCUACAAUGGCCAGUACAGAAGGCUGCGAGACCGUGAGGUGGAGCGAAUCCCUUAAAGCUGGUCUCAGUUCGGAUCGGGGUCUGCAACUCGACCCCGUGAAGUCGGAGUCGCUAGUAAUCGCAGAUCAGCAACGCUGCGGUGAAUACGUUCCCGGGCCUU